CAUUGGUGAGAAUCCAAUGCUCCGAAAACCCAAAGGUUCCUCCGCAAGGUUCGUCCACGGAAGGUGAGUCAGGGUCUAAGAUCAGGCCGAAAGGCGUAGUCAAUGGACAACAGGUGAAUAUUCCUGUACUACCCCUUGUUGGUCCCGAGAGACGAAGGAGGCUAGGUUAGCCGAAAGAUGGUUAUCGGUUCAAGGAUGCAAGGUGUCAAUUAGUUUCACUUUCUUAGUUUAUACAAAACCGUUGAUACAACCUAACACUAGCCAACGUUUUUUUUUUAUGGAUCAUAGUAUCUAAAAACGUUAUUGUUGGAUCAAAGUUACAACAAGAA
rnacentral:ncRNA from 1 species